rnacentral:rRNA from 1 species
GAUGAACGCUGGCGGCGUGCCUAAUACAUGCAAGUCGAGCGAACGGACGAGAAGCUUGCUUCUCUGAUGUUAGCGGCGGACGGGUGAGUAACACGUGGAUAACCUACCUAUAAGACUGGGAUAACUUCGGGAAACCGGAGCUAAUACCGGAUAAUAUUUUGAACCGCAUGGUUCAAAAGUAAAAGACGGUCUUGCUGUCACUUAUAGAUGGAUCCGCGCUGCAUUAGCUAGUUGGUAAGGUAACGGCUUACCAAGGCAACGUUGCAUAGCCGACCUGAGAGGGUGAUCGGCCACACUGGAACUGAGACACGGUCCAGACUCCUACGGGAGGCAGCAGUAGGGAAUCUUCCGCAAUGGGCGAAAGCCUGACGGAGCAACGCCGCGUGAGUGAUGAAGGUCUUCGGAUCGUAAAACUCUGUUAUUAGGGAAGAACAUAUGUGUAAGUAACUGUGCACAUCUUGACGGUACCUAAUCAGAAAGCCACGGCUAACUACGU